rnacentral:rRNA from 1 species
UUACGCUGUUAUCCCUAAGGUAAUUUAGUUUUAUAAUCAAUAUAAAUGGAUCAAAUACAUAUAAAUAAAUAUAAAAUAAAUAAAAAGAGUUAAUUAAAUCUUUCCAUCACCCCAACAAAAUAAAUUUUUACAUUAGAAAUUUUCAUACAAAAAAAAAUAAAAAUAUAUAUAAACUCUAUAGGGUCUUCUCGUCCCAAAAAAACAUUUAGGCAUUUUAACCUAAAAUUUAAGUUCAAAAAAAAAAAUAAAGACAGUUAACACCUCGUCAAACCAUUCAUUCCAGCCUACAAUUAAAAGACUAAUGAUUAUGCUACCUUUGCACGGUCAAAAUACCGCGGCCCUUCAAUAUUCAGUGGGCAGGCCAUACAUCAAAAUAUAUUCAAGAAGAGAUGUUUUUGAUAAACAGGCG